UUGGUGCACAAACUGGCAUGAGUAUCGUAAGAUAUAUUGUUUAUUUUUCUGCAAAAUUGUUUCUUAUAUACUAACUUUUAAAACUUUGUAGAUCCUGAUGGACGUAUUAAAAGACGUCGGGGACCAACAAAAUUGGCAAAUGUUUAAAAUCUUCCAGCUGGAGUUAAGAUUAUUGUCAAACUGGACCGUUUCAAUGCACCUUGCUGACAAUCUUCUGCAGUUCUUGGAUCCUAUUUAGGAACAUUAGUCAGGAAGCCACAUCUAGCUCCACUGAAUAUUCUAAAAUGGAAUGACAAAAUUUUUAUAAGAAUAUAUCAUCAAAAAAUGAUUACUGAAGUUAAGGUAUUUAUGUUUAGUUUACCAUGUUUUUAAAAUCAUACUGUUAUGGUGAUCCCAGUAUAAUUCCAUUGGCUCUUUUUUUUAUGCACUAGAGAAAGUUUGCAAUUGAUGGGAGAGCUAAGAGUUGGCUUCUCCAUCAGUUAGAUGGUAAAUGGAGGCAAUACAAGGGAAAACUGAAAGGAAAAUAUUACAAGCCUAACUUACCUAUGGAACGAGUAUUGCAAACGGUGCCCAACACUGUUGAUGAAUCUCGAUGGCCUACACUAGUUUCCUACUGGUACUCAAAGGACUCUAAGAAAAUCAGUGACAGAAACCAAGAGAAUGCACUCAAGCAUCCACACACUUUAGGAAGAAAGAGUUUUACAAGAAAGAGAAAAGAACUGGAAGUUAAUGGGGUGGAGGUGGACCGAGAAACCUUCUUUGAUGAAUGCCAUAAGACAAAAGAUGGUAGAUAUGUUACUGAUGCUACUCCAGAAAAACGUGGUCUAACAUAUCUUUUUUUAACUGUUUGUACAACAAAAUACACUAUGCUAAGAGUAUGAUUUUUCCAAUGUAGAAUGAGGUAUACAUGAAAUUGGCUGAGAAAAGAGUAGAUAGUCAACAACUCACUGAAGCUGAUUUUGAACAAGCUAUGUUAGAUAUGUUUGGAAAGGAUCAUAGUGGUAGAGUUAGAGGCAUGGGUCCAACCAUUACUCCUACAAACUAUUAUGGUGGAAGGUUUCUGAAUAUAUCAGCAAUCAAUGAACAAGGAACCAGCUCCAGUAAUGUCAAUGCUUUCAUAAGUUAGUUUUAUGGUCUCAUAUAUGGCAGAGAAAUAUCCCGAGGACAAUUUGUUGGCUAGGCUGCCACCAUCCCUUACUAGGCUCAUCCCAACAAGUGAGGUUAAUCAAAACCAAGAAGUUCAGGCACCAAAUACUGCGCCAUCUCCCAGUCAGAGAGCAUCUUCUCAGCCUUCAACUGAAGAAGAGUGAAGUUAUAGAUUUACAGUGGCAACUAUAUCAUUCCAUACUACUUGCUGCAUUAGGAUUUUUUUUAGUUAUCUUGUUUAACAAGCUACUGUUUCACUGUUAUCGGAAAUAAUGUUUAAGCAUUUUCAUUGGGAACAAUGUAUGGAUAUUACUUGUUUGUUUCAAUACGAAGUACUGGUGCUAAAAAUCUUGUUGUGAUCUAAUGGUAAUUUAAUCUGGUGAUAUUGUUUUAUGAAUUUUAUGAAUAAAGUUGUAUUAAUUAUUCUCGUGUAACCAACACUGCUAAGGACGGUAUUAAAGUAGAGAUGGUUUUCCAUGUGUCUAGAAAUUUGAUUUGAAUUUCGAGUUAUCUAUGUAGCGACGGUUCCGACCGUCUCUAACUAUACGUAUGGCUUUUCAAACCGUCUCUAAUCAUUUGACACAGGAGCAAUGGCAAUGCCUCUAACACGGUUGCUAAAACCAUCUCUACCACAAUUAGAGAUGGGUAUAGCCGUCUCUACAGUGUAUAAAAACCCGUCUCUAGAGACUGUUUGUGCUGUAAUGGUUUAGGAACCUUGAUGACAGUACAAAUUUAGGGACCGCCUGUACAAUUCAAUCUUUAAAGUUUAUGGGGGCUAUAUGAACUCUUUCAGUUUGCAUUAUUGCUAUUGCCUAUAUAUAUUUCUUUUUUAGAUGAUUGGCAAUUGAUCUAACCGCUAUGUACAUCCUCUUGCGCCACAAAUAGUAUGCGAUAUGUAUAGCGUAUAACACAAUGAAUCCCUCCAAAAUCUCAAGGUCGUCGUUCACAAUGGCUCAUACAUACCAUGAUGUUUUGGACUAGGAGGCAUCAAGAAUAGGUUAUGCCCUUUGCAAUUAAUCGGCUGCUACAGGUAUCCCAAUAGUACAUAUUCCACGGCGCAAGCAGUUUAACUGAUUUGACAAUUGUUGUGGCAGUCUGCCAACAAAUUGCUAUCUAUUGAUAUGCCAUGUCACGUCAUUAUGCAAACAUCUAAAAAUUCUCACCAUUGGAAUGGCGUUAUGAGCAA